UUUAUAGCACGUCGUGCCAAAAUAAUAGUGUCAUAGGUAAUUUUUUGAAAUGUGUGUGUACUUUUCUUAUUUCAAUGCUAUAGAUCACACAAGCUUUGCUAUAAUGUACAGCUAAUUUAACUUCAUUGCACGAUGAUUGCUUUAUAACACAUUUAUUAUAAAAUUCACGAUGAAGUGAGGAAGAAUGAUAAAGUGCACAAUAGUUUCAUAAAAAUGUUAACAUGGUUACUUCAUCUUUUUCACAAAAAAAGCUCAAUAUAGUUAAAUUGACAAUCCAGAUUUUACCGUGACCCUCCAUGCAAAGAUAGGUCACUUGAAAUUAUGCUUACAGUUCCUUAAGCGUGUAUUUAAGAUAAACAUCAUGAACGUUUUUUUUUUAAAUAUUCUGUUAAAGUAUUAGAUUUAUCCCAAAUAUACAAUGUUUAUUUUUUA